rnacentral:ncRNA from 1 species
UUUAGCCGGAUGAAAGGAAACUUUCACGUCCGAUUUUUAGGGGGGGGGGGAAGAUCCUAUCCCAAU